GCCGCGGUAGAUCAGCCCGGGACUGAGGCGUGUGUUCGCCUCUGCGGGAGAGAUCGCUCGACUGAAGAUCGAGUUGUCGUGUGUUCAAAUCACACCCGCGGCACCA
rnacentral:tRNA from 1 species